rnacentral:rRNA from 1 species
GAUGAACGCUGGCGGCGUGCUUAACACAUGCAAGUCGAACGGUAACAGGAAACAGCUUGCUGUUUCGCUGACGAGUGGCGGACGGGUGAGUAAUGUCUGGGAAACUGCCUGAUGGAGGGGGAUAACUACUGGAAACGGUAGCUAAUACCGCAUAACGUCGCAAGACCAAAGAGGGGGACCUUCGGGCCUCUUGCCAUCGGAUGUGCCCAGAUGGGAUUAGCUAGUAGGUGGGGUAACGGCUCACCUAGGCGACGAUCCCUAGCUGGUCUGAGAGGAUGACCAGCCACACUGGAACUGAGACACGGUCCAGACUCCUACGGGAGGCAGCAGUGGGGAAUAUUGCACAAUGGGCGCAAGCCUGAUGCAGCCAUGCCGCGUGUAUGAAGAAGGCCUUCGGGUUGUAAAGUACUUUCAGCGGGGAGGAAGGGAGUAAAGUCAAUACCUUUGCUCAUUGACGUUACCCGCAGAAGAAGCACCGGCUAACUCCGUGCCAGCCGCCGCGGUAA